ensembl:miRNA
CUUCAGCCCGACUUCUCUGAGCAAUGUCCUCAUACUGGGCCAUGAUGCUGUCCAGGUCCAGGCUACGGUUGUUGUCCAUGGAGAGGACCACAGAUGUGUCUGAG